AUACAAGGUACAGAUCGCUGUUAUCAACAGCACCUGCCAGGUAGCCAGAGCCCUCAAGGCUACAUCACUUCGGUGAUGGUUCCCCCCAAGUGCGAUUAGCGUUCGGUGGCUCGCACGGUGACCGUUUCUACGGUGAUGAACGC
rfam:Pseudomonas brenneri strain RGCB 108 Contig008, whole genome shotgun sequence.